rnacentral:rRNA from 1 species
GACGGAGGGGGCAAGCGUUGGCCGGUCUCACUGGGCGUAAAGCGUGCGUAGGUGGUGCGAUGCGUCGGCGCUGAAAGCGCCCGGCUUAACCGGGCGACGGGCGACGAUACGAUCGCACUGGAGUCCGGGAUACGUUGGUGGACUUCCGGGUGUAGUGGUGAAAUGCGUAGAAAUCCGGAGGAAUGCCGGUGGCGUAAGCGGCCAACGAGUCCGGAACUGACACUGAGGUACGAAAUCGUGGGGAGCAAACCGG